rnacentral:rRNA from 1 species
GACGCUGAAGCACGAANGCGUGGGGAUCAAACAGGAUUAGAUACCCUGGUAGUCCACGCAGUAAACGAUGAUAACUAGCUGUUUGCGAUACACAGUAAGCGGCACAGCGAAAGCGUUAAGUUAUCCACCUGGGGAGUACGCCGGCAACGNUGAAACUCAAAGGAAUUGACGGGGGCCCGCACAAGCGGAGGAACAUGUGGUUUAAUUCGAUGAUACGCGAGGAACCUUACCUGGGCUUAAAUUGCAGUGGAAUAACGUGGAAACAUGUUAGCCUUCGGGCCGCUGUGAAGGUGCUGCAUGGUUGUCGUCAGCUCGUGCCGUGAGGUGUCGGCUUAAGUGCCAUAACGAGCGCAACCCUCAUCGAUAGUUACUAACAGGUUAAGCUGAGGACUCUAUCGAGACUGCCGACGUAAGUCGUGAGGAAGGUGGGGAUGACGUCAAAUCAGCACGGCCCUUACGUCCAGGGCUACACACGUGUUACAAUGGGGGGUACAAAGGGCAGCUACCUGGCGACAGGAUGCUAAUCUCAAAAACCUCUCUCAGUUCGGAUUGGAGUCUGCAACCCGACUCCAUGAAGCUGGAUUCGCUAGUAAUCGCGCAUCAGCCACGGCGCGGUGAAUACGUUCCCGGGCCUUGUACACACCGCCCGUCAAGCCAUGGGAGCCGGGGGGACCUGAAGUAUGCAACCGUAAGGAGCGUCCUAGGGUAAAACUGGUGACUGGGGCU